AAAAAAAGAUAAUUUUAUUUAUUUUAUUUUUUUUUUAAGAAAAACAAAAAGGUCAGGGGUCUGCACUAUAUUUGGCCAUAUAUUGUGUAUUUGGAGUAUGAUCCUGCCGAUGAAUACAUUUUUAACAGAGUAAGAUGUGAAAAAAAUAAUGGAGUCUCGCGGUCUGGGAAUCGAACCCCGUCUUCCGCGCGGGAAACCAGGCAGAGGUACUGUCUACUACACUAACAAGGAACCACCGGCAAAUACAACGCCGACAGUGAAGUUAAUAUGAUGUUCGGUUGAGUUUUAUUUGCACAGCUGAAGCCGUUUAGUCCCAGUGACUAUAUUCACAUCAGUGGGGUCAGAAUUCAAAAAUAAAAUCGUUAAGGAACCAGAACUAUAUUAUAGAGCUACUAAACACUGCCGAAGAAAAGGUGAUAUAAACUACACACACACAUGGAAAAAAACCCAAAACGAAACAGAUAGUAGAGUAUAUUCUCGAUAAAUCCAAACACACAAUAUAUUGGAAUUGUUCUCUUUUUGAACAUAAGUAACAGCCCCACCUCGCAGUGGGGCUUCCAAAAAUUGUUCAUCCAUACAUUUUACCGCUUAUCCUUUGUUAUUCAAUGCCGAACAUUACGGUGGGAAGAGCAGAGCCUCACAAGAAAUAUAUUUCCACUCGACGUUUGUGUUGUUAUGGGAUGCAGAAGCUUGUGGUUCACUGUCUAAGCUGAGAGACUUAAAGCGUCAGUGACUGAGAUGACGGGACACACACUCUGUAGCGCGAUGACAGACAGACACACGUGCUGCUGAAUGAAAUAACCGAGAGCAGCCGAUGCAGCGUAGAUGAACGGUAAAGCCGCCUAUGGGUUCCUGCUCCUCAACAGACGGACUCUGUUUUUAAUUUUUGAAGGGUAAAAGUGAA
ensembl:lncRNA